GACGAACGCUGGCGGCGUGCUUAACACAUGCAAGUCGAACGGUAAGGCCCUUCGGGGUACACAAGUGGCGAACGGGUGAGUAACACGUGGGUGAUCUGCCCUGCACUUCGGGAUAAGCCUGGGAAACUGGGUCUAAUACCGGAUAGGACCCUGGGAUGCAUGUCCUGGGGUGGAAAGCUUUUGUGGUGUGGGAUGGGCCCGCGGCCUAUCAGCUUGUUGGUGGGGUGAUGGCCUACCAAGGCGACGACGGGUAGCCGGCCUGAGAGGGUGACCGGCCACACUGGGACUGAGAUACGGCCCAGACUCCUACGGGAGGCAGCAGUGGGGAAUAUUGCACAAUGGGCGCAAGCCUGAUGCAGCGACGCCGCGUGAGGGAUGACGGCCUUCGGGUUGUAAACCUCUUUCAGCACCGACGAAGCGCAAGUGACGGUAGGUGCAGAAGAAGGACCGGCCAACUACGUGCCAGCCGCCGCGGUAA
rnacentral:rRNA from 1 species